GGGGAUUUAGCUCAGUGGCAUAAGCACCUGCCUUACAAGCAGGCGGUUGUGAGUUCAAUCCCCG
rnacentral:tRNA from 1 species